CGGUCAAAGUUGAUGUUUUUGGUCAAAGUUGGUGGAAACUCGAGGUUUGCGACCAAAGUUGAUGUUUUCGGUCAAAGUAGAUGUUUUUGGUCAAAGUUGGUGGAAACUGGAAGUUUGCAACCAAAGAUGAUGAUUUCGGUCAAAGUAGAUGUUUUUGGUCAAAGUUGGUGGAAACUCGAGGUUUGCAACCAAAGAUGAUGAUUUCGGUCAAAGUAGAUGUUUUUGGUCAAAGUUGGUGGAAACUGGAAGUUUGCAACCAAAGAUGAUGAUUUCGGUCAAAGUAGAUGUUUUUGGUCAAAGUUGGUGGAAACUCGAGGUUUGCGACCAAAGUUGAUGUUUUCGGUCAAAGUAGAUGUUUUUGGUCAAAGUUGGUGGAAACUGGAAGUUUGCAACCAAAGAUGAUGUUUUCGGUCAAAGUAGAUGUUUUUGGUCAAAGUUGGUGGAAACUCGAGGUUUGCGACCAAAGUUGAUGUUUUCGGUCAAAGUAGAUGUUUUUGGUCAAAGUUGGUGGAAACUCGAGGUUUGCGACCAAAGUUGAUGUUUUCGGUCAAAGUAGAUGUUUUUGGUCAAAGUUGGUGGAAACUGGAAGUUUGCAACCAAAGAUGAUGAUUUCGGUCAAAUUAGAUGUUUUUGGUCAAAGUUGGUGGAAACUGGAAGUUUGCAACCAAAGAUGAUGAUUUCGGUCAAAGUAGAUGUUUUUGGUCAAAGUUGGUGGAAACUCGAGGUUUGCGACCAAAGUUGAUGUUUUCGGUCAAAGUUGAUGUUUUUGGUCAAAGUUGGUGGAAACUGGAAGUUUGCAACCAAAGAUGAUGAUUUCGGUCAAAGUAGAUGUUUUUGGUCAAAGUUGGUGGAAACUCGAGGUUUGCAACCAAAGAUGAUGAUUUCGGUCAAAGUAGAUGUUUUUGGUCAAAGUUGGUGGAAACUUGAAGUUUGCAACCAAAGAUGAUGAUUUCGGUCAAAGUAGAUGUUGUUGGUCAAAGUUGGUGGAAACUUGAAGUUUGCAACCAAAGAUGAUGAUUUCGGUCAAAGUAGAUGUUUUUGGUCAAAGUUGGUGGAAACUUGAGGAUUGCGGCCAAAGUUGAUGUUUUCGGUCAAAGUAGAUGUUUUUGAUCAAAGUUGGUGGAAACUUGAAGUUUGCAACCAAAGAUGAUGAUUUCGUUCAAAGUAGAUGUUUUUGGUCAAAGUUGGUGGAAACUGGAAGUUUGCAACCAAAGAUGAUGAUUUCGGUCAAAGAAGAUGUUGUUGGUCAAAGUUGGUGGAAACUGGAAGUUUGCAACCAAAGAUGAUGAUUUCGGUCAAAGUAGAUGUUUUUGGUCAAAGUUGGUGGAAACUCGAGGUUUGCAACCAAAGUUGAUGUUUUCGGUCAAAGUUGAUGUUUUUGGUCAAAGUUGGUGGAAACUCGAGGUUUGCGACCAAAGUUGAUGUUUUCGGUCAAAGUAGAUGUUUUUGGUCAAAGUUGGUGGAAACUUGAAGUUUGCAACCAAAGAUGAUGAUUUCGGUCAAAGUAGAUGUUUUUGGUCAAAGUUGGUGGAAACUGGAAGUUUGCAACCAAAGAUGAUGAUUUCGGUCAAAGUAGAUGUUGUUGGUCAAAGUUGGUGGAAACUUGAAGUUUGCAACCAAAGAUGAUGAUUUCGGUCAAAGUAGAUGUUUUUGGUCAAAGUUGGUGGAAACUGGAAGUUUGCAACCAAAGAUGAUGAUUUCGGUCAAAGUAGAUAUUGUUGGUCAAAGUUGGUGGAAACUGGAAGUUUGCAACCAAAGAUGAUGAUUUCGGUCAAAGUAGAUGUUUUUGGUCAAAGUUGGUGGAAACUCGAGGUUUGCAACCAAAGAUGAUGAUUUCGGUCAAAGUAGAUGUUUUUGGUCAAAGUUGGUGGAAACUGGAAGUUUGCAACCAAAGAUGAUGAUUUCGGUCAAAGUAGAUGUUUUUGGUCAAAGUUGGUGGAAACUGGAAGUUUGCAACCAAAGAUGAUGAUUUCGGUCGAAGUAGAUGUUUUUGGUCAAAGUUGGUGGAAACUGGAAGUUUGCAACCAAAGAUGAUGAUUUCGGUCAAAGUUGAUGUUUUUGUUCAAAGUUGGUGGAAACUGGAAGUUUGCAACCAAAGAUGAUGAUUUCGGUCAAAGUAGAUGUUUUUGGUCAAUGUUGGUGGAAACUGGAAGUUUGCAACCAAAGAUGAUGAUUUCGGUCAAAGUAGAUGUUGUUGGUCAAAGUUGGUGGAAACUUGAAGUUUGCAACCAAAGAUGAUGAUUUCGGUCAAAGUUGAUGUUUUUGGUCAAAGUUGGUGGAUACUGAAAGUUUGCAACCAAAGAUGAUGAUUUCGGUCAAAGUAGAUGUUUUUGGUCAAAGUUGGUGGAAACUCGAGGUUUGCAACCAAAGAUGAUGAUUUCGGUCGAAGUAGAUGUUUUUGGUCAAAGUUGGUGGAAACUGGAAGUUUGCAACCAAAGAUGAUGAUUUCGGUCAAAGUAGAUGUUUUUGGUCAAAGUUGGUGGAAACUCGAGGUUUGCGACUAAAGUUGAUGUUUUCGGUCAAAGUUGAUGUUUUUGGUCAAAGUUGGUGGAAACUGGAAGUUUGCAACCAAAGAUGAUGAUUUCGGUCAAAGUAGAUAUUUUUGGUCAAAGUUGGUGGAAACUGGAAGUUUGCGACCAAAGAUGAUGAUUUCGGUCAAAGUUGAUGUUUUUGGUCAAAGUUGGUGGAAACUGGAAGUUUGCAACCAAAGAUGAUGAUUUUGGUCAAAGUUGAUGUUUUUGGUCAAAGUUGGUGGAAACUCGAGGUUUGCAACCAAAGAUGAUGAUUUCGGUCGAAGUAGAUGUUUUUGGUCAAAGUUGGUGGAAACUGGAAGUUUGCAACCAAAGAUGAUGAUUUCGGUCAAAGUUGAUGUUUUUGGUCAAAGUUGGUGGAAACUCGAGGUUUGCGACUAAAGUUGAUGUUUUCGGUCAAAGUUGAUGUUUUUGGUCAAAGUUGGUGGAAACUGGAAGUUUGCAACCAAAGAUGAUGAUUUCGGUCAAAGUAGAUAUUUUUGGUCAAAGUUGGUGGAAACUGGAAGUUUGCAACCAAAGAUGAUCAUUUCGGUCAAAGUUGAUGUUUUUGGUCAAAGUUGGUGGAAACUCGAGGUUUGCAACCAAAGAUGAUGAUUUCGGUCAAAGUAGAUGUUUUUGGUCAAAGUUGGUGGAAACUGGAAGUUUGCAACCAAAGAUGAUGAUUUCGGUCAAAGUAGAUGUUUUUGGUCAAAGUUGGUGGAAACUUGAAGUUUGCAACCAAAGAUGAUGAUUUCGGUCAAAGUAGAUGUUUUUGGUCAAAGUUGGUGGAAACUGAAAGUUUGCAACCAAAGAUGAUGAUUUCGGUCAAAGUAGAUGUUUUUGGUCAAAGUUGGUGGAAACUCGAGGUUUGCGACCAAAGAUGAUGAUUUCGGUCAAAGUUGAUGUUUUUGGUCAAAGUUGGUGGAAACUGGAAGUUUGCAACCAAAGAUGAUGAUUUUGGUCAAAGUUGAUGUUUUUGGUCAAAGUUGGUGGAAACUCGAGGUAUGCGACCAAAGAUGAUGUUUUCGGUCAAAGUUGAUGUUUUUGGUCAAAGUUGGUGGAAACUGGAAGUUUGCAACCAAAGAUGAUGAUUUCGGUCAAAGUAGAUGUUUUUGGUCAAAGUUGGUGGAAACUCGAGGUUUGCAACCAAAGAUGAUGAUUUCGGUCAAAGUAGAUGUUUUUGGUCAAAGUUGGUGGAAACUGGAAGUUUGCAACCAAAGAUGAUGAUUUCGGUCAAAGUAGAUGUUUUUGGUCAAAGUUGGUGGAAACUUGAAGUUUGCAACCAAAGAUGAUGAUUUCGGUCAAACCCAAAUAGCCAAAUUAUCUUAAGCAGCUAUUUUGAGCACGCUAAAGAUCGCUUCUCUAAUACGACUUUUGCAGUAGAUAAACAGCUUCAAAGUUCGCCGUACUUUUAACCGACCCUUAAGAAGCCUGAACGUCAAAAUGUUAAAGAAAGUAUUUAUGCAAGUUUUAUUUUCACGCAAGAUUAUGUUAUUAUUAUUAUUGUUAAUGUUAUUAUAUUAUUAUAUUACAAAAAACCAAAGAAAAUGUGAAAAAAUGACUCAUUUCUGCUUGGAGUUGCAUUUAUACAU